rnacentral:rRNA from 1 species
UACGUAGGGUGCGAGCGUUGUCCGGAAUUAUUGGGCGUAAAGGGCUCGUAGGCGGUCUGUCGCGUCGGGCGUGAAAACUCAGGGCUUAACCCUGAGCCUGCUUCCGAUACGGGCAGACUAGAGGUAUGCAGGGGAGAACGGAAUUCCUGGUGUAGCGGUGAAAUGCGCAGAUAUCAGGAGGAACACCGGUGGCGAAGGCGGUUCUCUGGGCAUUACCUGACGCUGAGGAGCGAAAGUGUGGGGAGCGAACAGG